rnacentral:rRNA from 1 species
AACGAACGCUGGCGGCAUGCCUAACACAUGCAAGUCGAACGAAGUCUUCGGACUUAGUGGCGCACGGGUGCGUAACGCGUGGGAAUCUGCCCUUGGGUGCGGAAUAACUUCUCGAAAGGGAUGCUAAUACCGCAUAAUGUCGUAAGACCAAAGAUUUAUCGCCCAAGGAUGAGCCCGCGUAAGAUUAGCUAGUUGGUGGGGUAAAAGCCUACCAAGGCGACGAUCUUUAGCUGGUCUGAGAGGAUGAUCAGCCACACUGGGACUGAGACACGGCCCAGACUCCUACGGGAGGCAGCAGUGGGGAAUAUUGGACAAUGGGCGAAAGCCUGAUCCAGCAAUGCCGCGUGAGUGAUGUAGGCCUUAGGGUUGUAAAGCUCUUUUACCCGGGAUGAUAAUGACAGUACCGGGAGAAUAAGCUCCGGCUAACUCCGUGCCAGCAG